rnacentral:rRNA from 1 species
GACGAACGCUGGCGGCGUGCUUAACACAUGCAAGUCGAACGGAAAGGCCCUGCUUUUGUGGGGUGCUCGAGUGGCGAACGGGUGAGUAACACGUGAGUAACCUGCCCUUGACUUUGGGAUAACUUCAGGAAACUGGGGCUAAUACCGGAUAGGAGCUCCUGCUGCAUGGUGGGGGUUGGAAAGUUUCGGCGGUUGGGGAUGGACUCGCGGCUUAUCAGCUUGUUGGUGGGGUAGUGGCUUACCAAGGCUUUGACGGGUAGCCGGCCUGAGGGGGUGACCGGCCACAUGGGGUGGGAGUGAGGGCCCGAACCGCUACGGGAGGGAGGAGGGGGGAAUAUUGAACAGAGGGCGGGAGCCAGAAUGAGCAACCCCGGGUGCGGGAGGGCGGCCUGCGGGUGGGAAGCCGCUUUCGCCUGUGACGGAGGGUAGGGAACGGAAAGGGAGAAAAAACCACCGCCAACCUAGGG